UUGGCCUUUUGGCCUUUUGGCUAAGAUCAAGUGUAGUAUCUGUUCUUAUCCGUUUAAUAUCUGAUACGUCUUCGAUGUGAAGACACUGUGUUAAGCAGCUUUUUGGAGAAAGGAGGUGGGUUGGGAGCUUGCUCCGUCCCCUCCACGCAUUGGCCUGUUACUGCAGUAUUUCCAGGCUAGGUGUUUUUUUU